UGUGGCUCAAGCGGUAGCGUGCUCGCCUGCCAUGCGUGCGGCCUGGGUUCGAUCCUCAUACAA
rnacentral:tRNA from 1 species